rnacentral:lncRNA from 1 species
CAGAAGAUGACAGCUCUUGCAUUAAACUAGUUACAAAGAAAACAAGAUAUUGUAUAGUUUUACACUUUGUGGUUUUAGACAGUAACUUCUUGGUAUCAUACGCAAAAGACGGUUCGGUGGCAGAUUUCUGUUAAUAAGUACAUGUUGAAAAACUGCCUGCGCUGAGGAAAUCUUUAAGUGUGUAUCAGCUGUUUUCUCGCGCGCGUAGUAAGAAACUUACUACAGACUAUUUCCUGAAAAUGCGGACUGAGACAUGUUUACAACUGAGAUGAGUGAUUUUCUUAGAGUUCUGUUCUUUGGAUUACAAGCUUCUACCAGCAUCAGUCUCAACAAAAAAGGUCGCUCAGUUUGACGGUAUACUAGCCAGAAAGCAGUUCAGAGUCCCUUGGUAGUCAGAAUCAUUCAUGCAGCAAGGCAGUUUUCAAUCCAGGAUGGUUCUCGGAGGAGGAUGGCGAGAUAAGGGCCCUCUCAAGAGCGUUCUAGACAUGCUGUGUAGGGUUGAAGUUAAGACAUCUGGCUGGCUAACCCAUGUAUCCUCACUUUCCAGGUAAUCGUGGACCAGGUGGACCCUGUAGGAACAAGCGUUGUUAUUCAUUUACAGGAAUCCAGGUCCAACUGCACCCGUGAAAAACCGAACAUAUCGUUAUCAUAUCUCCUCUCUAUACCUCACAGCAGUCGAAACCAUUUUUCAAACACAUUCAUGGGGGUGCGGGCGUCCAACUUAAUGCCUGCCAAACCAUUUCCAUUACCAUAUUGAACCUUUUCUCUGAUGAAGGAGUGAUGCUGUCGUAUUUGAGGCUCUCUCCAGAUGCAGGUAUACCGAGAGUCCGUGUUCAGGCUGAAUCUCGACUUAUAUCUAAAAGGCAAUAUGCUCCAUUGAAGUCUUGUCCAAGGCGCUUUCUGUGGCCACUAAGCUAAAUACGAUCUCUUGUGUGAUACAAUGAAUGAGACGCAAACAGCUGGCCUUCUGGCAUUUAGCCUUAUCUUAUAAAGUCUUCGGGCGACUGUGGAACUGUGGAAUUGGGAUUUCAGUAGCAACAUGCGGCACACCUGAGAAUUGUGAAGCUGUAGCAGUCGUGUGUCACCGCGUUGAAAGUGCUAAGUAACGAUCAUUAUUCCUCUCUGUGGAUUUUUUUUUUGACUUCGUCUGAGUGUUCUCUAUAUGGAUGUGUCCUGAAACUGUUUUCAGAAAUUGCAGAUGACACUGGUCGUCACAUAGAGCUCUGUAGCCAACUGCGCUUGUGAUUAGACUGCCUGCAAUUCCCGAGAAGUAUCUGUCUAUUUCUGUUAUCCAUAUGUUCAGGGCUACUUAUUUUAAUUGAUACCUUAUAAAAUUUACUCAACUCUUGCAAGAAACACAGUGAAUGUCGUAAAGGAGUAAGAGCACACAAAUCGUCGAAAACACUACGUGCACUUGUAAUCUCCUACACAAUCACAGCUCCUUGGACGCGCACGUGUACGCUUACGUAUUGGACUCUGAAUAUUUACAUAAAUGUUCGACUGUAUAAUUAGUACCUAUAAAUUCCGUAAAAAUAGACGUAAUUUAGAAAUUCUCUUAAUUUUGCUCAUAAAUGUAUAUAGUGUGCGUAAAUUGUUUCUAAUUGCUUUUUGCCAAUAGCAUUUAUUUUGUUGUUUCACAUUCGCAUAUUUUUUAUAUAUUUUAGAGUUGGCCAUAGCGCGGCUAGCAAGCCUUGUGAUGCUCUUUAUGCAAAUAAUAUAUAGGUAUGAAAUGUGAUAAAUUAAAAUUACUCAAUGUGCAAAAGAAAGUAUUUUAUUUAAUUUCUUUCUGAAAAAUUAUCACACGUUUUGAUCCAUUUGAAACCUGGUUCACUACUUUUAAACUGAUACAAGUGCUAACUUGUGGCAGUUUUGGAAUUCACGACUCGAACCGUCCUGAAUUCCAAUAUGUGGUUCUUACUGACACGAAUAAAGUAUAUUUAAAAUUUGUAUAUAUAUAUAUACGUUCUUAUUAUAGGUAAUAAUUACUUUGCUAUACUUUAGUUUGUAAAAUUAUAUGCUUUUAAUUUUGUAAACUUGCAGACAACUCAAAAGUAUCAAAUUGUCUUUUUCUUUUAUUACAUUGCUCAACUUCGAAGGCGGGAAUAACAUUUUCAUUAGGUAAGCACCUUUAGGAAGCAACAAUGCUCCAGGCAAAAAUUUUAGUUACUUUAUUUUAGUUACUUUAGUAUUUCUCCCGCCUUCUUAGGGUGACCACGUGGUGUGGUAGUCUGCACGCUGGGCGAGUAUUUUAGAGGUCCGUGGUUGGAUUCCGGCGAAAGAGUUGCUCAUUUUUCACACCUUCUGCUUCCAAAAAAAUUCUAAUGUCUCUUCAACUUCAUUUCACUUAGUUAUUAGAUGCAGUGAGCAGUUUCUUGGAUGGAUUUCAUUAAUGUAGGCAAAAUAGUUUUUCUUUUAUUCAAUGUUUUGCCUUUGUUGCUUAUUUUUAUAGCAGGAGUGUAAAACAUAGGAUCAUUUCACCAUGUAGAUUAAGGGAUGCCUUUGUGGAGUAUUUUCUAACGGAAUAGAGCUCGUUUUCAAGUUACAUAUUUAAAAGCAAGAAAACAACCAUGCAACCAGUACGUUCAUCUGGUAUCGAACUCCCAGUAUUUUCAGUUUUCAUUUAAUUAAAUGUUUUGCUUUGCCCUUAUAGCUUUGGCCACUAUUCACAUAAAACUAUUGCAGUCAUACUAACAAAGGCGAACUUAAGAAGUGUAAGUAGAAGAUGGGUAAUAGUGUAAUUAAUAGAGCAAGAAACGAGAGCUGGGAUUACCUAUUUAUGAGAGAACAGCACCGUACAUCUCUCUCAUUAGUACGGCUUUAAGAAACAGCGAUUCCAGAAUAUAUGUUCAGCAGGAGGGAGUCUUGGCCGUAAAUGUUGAAUGAAAGGUUUAUCGAGAUGUUUCGAACAUUUAUCAGGGCUCAAUGUAGUCUGGGUAUUUUUAUAUUUAAUAACUUCGAGUUACGUUUCCGUUAGAAACGUAACUUGAAGUUAUUAAAGUCUGUCAGUCUUAAAACGAAUUUUAUGUAUUUGAAUUCCAUAUCCCGUUUUCAGUUUGUAACCUUUGAUAUGAAAAACUUGAGCUGUUAUUUAUAUUUCUAAAUUCUUUAUUAUUUAGAAAAGUUUGUUAUUAACGUAUAUCUGCACUGCGUCUUGCAUAAAAGCCCCUAUGUGUGUACCUGGAUGAAAGUCUUUUUCGCAAGUUUCAUACUAAAAACCAACGAAUUUGAAGAAUUCGUUUUGAAGAAUAUCAGGAUUAUAUAAUAAAUAUGGACAUUAAAAUUUUUGCAGAAUUUAGACGUAAUUAGUUUAGAAUAUAAAUUAAUACUGUAGAGUCAUUAGGAAUUUUUUAGAAGGAUGAAAAAUGGCCAAUGCCCACGUCGAGACUCGAACCUCGGCCUCUCGAAAACACGCCGAGUGUGCUACCGGUUACACAACGAAGGCAUGCUAGAAGGAAGGGGAAAAAACUUUGUAUACUCCCAUUAGGUGUGGCCUGUUAUGACCAUAAAACCAACUUGUUUGGUUAGGUAGUUCGGGCUCCUGGGGAUUAGGGUACCCAAUCGCCAAAUCCUAGUGAUGAAGAAUCAUCACCCAUCACCUUUUUAGUUCGGGCGCCAAUGCCGAGACAUUUAGAAAAACUGAAGAAAUGAGCAAUGCUCUUGUCAAGACUUGAACCUGGACCCCUGGAGUACGCGACGAGUGUGCUACCGUUACACCACGAAGGCGUGCUAGACGGAGGGAGAAAAUAACUUAAAAUACGACAAUAUAAAGGAAGACAGACAGGAAAGACGUCUGCUGAAAGACUACUUCACUUCGUCGUCCAAAAGUGAUGCCGACAGAAUUAUAAAAAAAAACGCUUCAAAAAUAAGCUGUGAAGUUUGACAAAGAUUUAGAAAUUUCCCCAAACAAAGUAAAGUUCCUGAUUUUUAAAACCAUACAAUAUGCAUGAAAAUUGAUAGUUUGGAUUAUCUGUGCUUUUCAGUAAUAUGUGAUGUGCUUUCCAGCAAAACAAGGAUAAUCGACAGCUAAUAAUAAUCGAGAUAAUCGAGAGUUCCCUAAGCAUGAAAAAUAGAAUAUACUUUGUUUUAUAUUACUUAAAGAUUCACUUAAAUAAGUUAAAUAAUAUCAUAAAAUAUUUUAUUUAGAACGCUAUAUUUUAAUUAGCAUUGAAGAAUAACUGAGUAUAAGAAAAUAGUUUUUUUUUAAACGACCGCACCACAUGUGAAGCAACCGUGAGUAAAAUGAGGGACGAAUUUGUUUCUAAACUCUGUUAAUGAAAAGAAUAGCUAAUUAAAACAUUUCAUCAUUUAUUUGCAAAACACUUUUAAACCAAUCCGGCAGGAAUGUAACUAGAAACAUCUAACGUGACUUGAAUAAAAAUCAUUUAUCAACUUAAUCAUAGUGUUUAAUAGAUAAUUAGUUACGUACUUUUCUUGGAAUGCAACAUUUAAUUAAUUAGUUAAAAGGAAGCUAUUUCUAUUAACGUUUCAUUUUUGGUGUUUUUUCUCUAAAAUGCUUCCACAGAGAACCGAAUACGAAUUCAUAGAUACUUUUAACAUGAGGAUAUUUUAUUAAGAAUCUUGUUGCCAUUAGAGUAAGACAACAGUUUUAUGUAACAUAUUGGUUUAUUCUUUCGAAUUAUUUUUAAGUAUUUUACUGUUAAAAUUUGAAAGAUGCAUUGAACAUGUGAGAUUUUUUUAAUUUUACAAAUAAAUAAUAAAUAAUUAAUAAUAAAUAUUUUUUAAUAAUAAAUAUUUUUUUAAUAAUAAAUAUCUUUUAAUUUUACAAAUAUGGUUGAAGUAAACUUAACUAAUUAAACUAUUUAUGCGAAACAUUUAGAACAAUUUUUAUGUCAACACCAGUAUAUAAAAAUCACACCAUCAGUUAAAUAACACCAAAAAUUGCAAGUCAAUUGAAUCAUAAAAAAUUUUAAGCUUUGAUAAAAAGCAAAAAAAAAAAAAAAAAAAAAAAAAA